UUUAAUUAAUUGUUUGAUUAAGAUGGUUGAAUGUAAGAAAAAUAAUUUAAAUUAUAAAAAGUAAUUUUUAAUAAAAUUUAUUGGAAAACAAAAGUGAAUAAGUACUGUGAAGGAAUGUUGUAUAAAAAUGUUUUUAGUAAAGGUAAAAUUUUGUAUCUUGUGUAUUAGAGAGGGCUAAUAUGGUUUAAGUAUUAUAGAAAUCUCGAAAUAAGCACAGUUAAUUGUAAAAUAAGGAAUUUUGUAGAAAAUAAAUCCUGAAUAUAUAAUUAAAGAUGAAAUAUCAGUCGAGGUUUAUUAUAUCUAGUUUUUUUAAAAUAAAUUUAAUUUUUUCUUUAUGUAAGUAGAUAUAAGAUAUAAAGAGGAAAGGCAGGAGGGGCAAGCUUCUUGUAAAUUAUAAAAAAUAGCCAAGUUGGAAUUUAAGGAAUUAAUUAGGCUUAAAAGUAGCUAUAUUAAUAAAGUGUUUUAAUUAAAUUUGUAAUAUUAAAAUGAUUUGUAUUGGCUUUUAUUUGUAUAAAAAGAUUAGUUCAAUUAAGGUAAAUUGAGUUAUAAUGGGCUUAUAAGUAGAAUUAAUGUAUUUUUGGAAGUUGUAAAAUGAAGUUUUUUAGGAUAAAUUGUAGUAUUAAAGGAACUUGGCAAAAUAUUUUUUUGCCUGUUUAUCAAAAACAUGUCUACUUGAAGAUAUAAGGAGUCUAGCCUGCUCUCUGAUUAUUAUUUAAGGGCCGCGGUAAUUUGACCGUGCAAAGGUAGCAUAAUAGUUAGUUUUUUAAUUGGAAUCUUGUAUGAAUGGUUGAACAAAAGAAAUACUGUCUCUAUAAUUUUUAUUGAAUUUAACUUUUAAGUGAGAAGGCUUAGAUUUAUUAAAAAGACGAUAAGACCCUAUAAAGCUUUAUAAGUAAUUUUAUUAUAAUUGAUUUAUUAAUAAUGUUUUAAUAAGUUAUAUUAUUUUGUUGGGGAGAUAAUAUUAUAAUUAUGAUUAACUGUGAAUAAUUGAUACAAUUAUGGGUGUGUUGGUUGUAGUAAAAGAUCCUGUUAUACAGAGUGAGAGUUUAAGUUACUUUAGGGAUAACAGCGUUAUUUUUCUUGAGAGUUCAUAUCGAAAGAAAAGAUUGCGACCUCGAUGUUGAAUUAAAAUUUCUAAGUAAUUGUAGUAGUUAUUUAAGAAGGUCUGUUCGACCUUUAAAAUUUUACAUGAUUUGAGUUCAGACCGGCGUGAGCCAGGUUGGUUUCUAUCUUUUAAAGAGGAAGAGAUUACUUUAGUACGAAAGGAUUAGGUAAUCGAAAAAAUUUUUGUUUAUU
rnacentral:rRNA from 1 species